AGUGAACGCUGGCGGUAGGCCUAACACAUGCAAGUCGAACGGCAGCACAGUAAGAGCUUGCUCUUACGGGUGGCGAGUGGCGGACGGGUGAGGAAUACAUCGGAAUCUACUUUUUCGUGGGGGAUAACGUAGGGAAACUUACGCUAAUACCGCAUACGACCUACGGGUGAAAGCAGGGGAUCUUCGGACCUUGCGCGACUGAAUGAGCCGAUGUCGGAUUAGCUAGUUGGCGGGGUAAAGGCCCACCAAGGCGACGAUCCGUAGCUGGUCUGAGAGGAUGAUCAGCCACACUGGAACUGAGACACGGUCCAGACUCCUACGGGAGGCAGCAGUGGGGAAUAUUGGACAAUGGGCGCAAGCCUGAUCCAGCCAUACCGCGUGGGUGAAGAAGGCCUUCGGGUUGUAAAGCCCUUUUGUUGGGAAAGAAAAGCAGCAGGUUAAUACCCCGCUGUUCUGACGGUACCCAAAGAAUAAGCACCGGCUAACUUCGU
rnacentral:rRNA from 1 species